UUCUUUUAGGAAGGUCAUGACAAUUUGAUACGAAAAUAAUUUAUAAUGGCCUAACUAAUAAGGAGCUAUGUAUUUCCCUAAGUCUUUGAUAAAAUUUCUUGCAUAGUUAAGCAGGCCUAGAAAGGCUCUCAGGAUUUUUAUGUCUUCCAUUUUAUCUGAGAAACCAAGAAUCUUUUGGGAGAUAUGAGGCUGAAGUUGAAAAUGGACGAGUUGAAACUAAGUGUUUGGCCAAGCAUCAAGGAAGGGCUCAUAAGUUGGCUAUUGAGCCUGGUCCACAUGUUUUUUAUACCUGUGGUGAAGAUGGAUUAGUGCAGCUUUGAUGCUUUUCGAUUGAUCAAUCCACAAACAAUGAUGCUUGGUCAAGGACCAAGGCAGACAACAUCCAAUUUGGGACAUAUGAGUAAACCAUCCAUUCAAGUGUGUUAUCCAAAUCCCUUUCUUUCUGAUGUCUAUACUGUUUCCAUGUUUUAUAUUUGGAAGCGCUUAUUCUGCAUUUUUUUUAAAUUGCCCCCCAUCAUUCUUUAUUGGUCCUCUUUAGGCAUUGAUCCAUGGGUUGAAUUGGCUUUACUAUUCCAUAGCCAUGAAUUACAGGAAGAAUGAACUUGAGGAGAAGACGUUGUUUAAUCUUCACAAGAAGAAAUGGACUGAUGGUUUGACACUUUGGCAGUUUGAUACACAUUCCAAAACUAAUGAACAGACUGUACAGGUUGGUGAUGUGAAGCAACAACUUAAUUUUGUCCAUAAGGCUCCUAAGAAGGUAAGGAUUGUAAUGCAGCUACUUGAGUAGAUUUUACAUGCCAUUUGCCAAAUAUAUUCUUCAUGUCACUUGUAUGAUGCUCGUACUCUGUUGAUCAAAAUUCGAGACAUUCCAAACUGAAGAUUACUAUUCCUAGAGAGCCUCACUUAGAAACAACUCACAGAGCACGAAGGAUUAGGUUUGAAACUGCCCCAACAUUCUAGAGUGUUCAGAGGUUUUCCUUCUAUAACUUUGAAUUAAAUGAUCAUUUUUUAUGGGACAUUGAUGCAUAUUUUACUAAUUAUGUUAAGAUUUUGUUUUUUCUUCUUUUGCAUUGUAAUUAAAUUAUGUGAAUGUCUGGUCCAUCUGUGUUUCAGUCCUGCUUCAAUUACUUUUUGGGUGUAGAGUUACCAAGGUUUUAUUUCACAAUUGAUAUAUUUUUCCUUUUGUUGUUUGUCUUUCCAGUGGAGGUUUGCAUUUGUGUUACAUGGUCAUCCUGAAUACCUACAAGAUUCAGAUUUUGUUUCUGAACGGUUUCAGAACCAUCACACAUUUGAGAAGUCUGUAAAAAACUACAACUAGGAAAAAAGUCUGUAUCAUCUCAAUCAAUUAGUAUAUAAUACCUCAUGGUAGUGACACUUGCAGUGUUAUGAAGGUGAUCACAGAAGUGUAGAGUAGAGAUACUGCCAAUCUUCUCAAGAGAUGUCUCAAUUUUAUAGAUUUAAGGCUUACGGUAUAAGUACAUAGCCUUGAUCUGUCUUUUCUGGUGGUUAAAACUCAUUCUCAGUCACUCGUCUUGUAGAUUGAGUUUUAAUUCCUUUGUAAAUGAUAAAUAAAAUUUUGGGUUGGAUUUUGUAUAUAAAAUUCUAUUACGAGCUUUUG